rnacentral:misc_RNA from 1 species
GGGCUAGCAGUGGAAGCCCCUGGGCUACUGUGGGCUCUGGACAGUGAUAAGAGAUGCUGCUCCCUUCUGAAUUACUUUUGAAUUACCUGUAACUCCUUGACACGUGUUGUGGUAUUUUGAAAAGAAGGCUGGGUGGUUAACAAAUUAACAAUCAGUUGUUUCGUAACUUUUUAGAUAACAUGUAUUUAGCUAUAAACUAUCAUUUAAAAAAGCAUAAAAAUUAAAAAUCUUUCUAAUUUAGCUUUAAAUUUUGAACAUUUUGCUAUAUUUCUAAACAGAUCUUCUUUAUAAGGAGAUUAAUUUUUACAGAAAAUGGCCACAACUAUCAAGCCCUCUUACUAUAAUCACUCUCUUUAACCUACAUACAUGUAUUUCGACAUGUAAAGAAAUUGGGUCUUAUAAAAAUUGUCUUUAAGUUAUACAACCUCACGUUGUAGAACAACUAAAACGUGUUUUUGCACUUCACGAUUUAUUUCCGUUCACUGUUCUGUCAAUCAAACAUCCCACGGGAUUUACACUGCAUAUACAUAUGUUAUAUACAAUAAAAAUUGUACAUUUCAUGGAUGUGUCAUACACCCAUGAAAUGUAUGUCUUUAAUAUGUUUCAUUUUCUCCAUACAGUAUGUACAAAUAAACAAGACAUGACGUUCUGUUUUUCAAAAAAAUUUUACUGUGCUAAUAUUUUGCAAUGAACAAAUUUUUUUCUAACUUAUUUCUCGAGUAUUUGAUAUUGCACUACCAAACAGCUGUUGUAGUUUUAAGGCACAUGGAAAUUGUGCUGGUCUUGUGUGAUCAUAAAAUAUAUGAUGGAUAUUAAAGGUCCUUAUAUGGGAUAGGUACCUUAAAGGCACAAGGUCUUCUGUGAAAUAUCCUGUCUCUUAAUUUACAAACAAUAAAAUGGAUAAUU